CAGACAAGCAGGGGCAUAAAGAUGAAGUCCCAGUCCCAGGUUUUCAUAGUCCUGAUUCUCUGUGUGUCUGGUGCUCAUGGAAGCAUUGUGAUGACCCAGUCUCCUGAAUCCCUGCCUGCAUCAGUAGGAAACAGAGUUGCCAUGAGCUGCAAAGCCAGUCAGAGUGUGAGUACUAAUGUAGCCUGGUAUCAACAGAAGCCAGGGCAGUCUCCUAAACUGCUAAUCUAUGGUGCAUCAAAUCGAUACACUGGAGUCCCUGAUUGCUUCACAGGCAGUGGAUCUGAGACAGAUUUCACUCUUAUCAUCAGCAGUGUGCAAGAUGAAGACAUGGCAGAUUAUUUCUGUCAGCAUCAUUACAGCUAUCCUCCCACAGUGAUUCAUCCUCCUACACAAACCUUUUUGAGAGUCUCACAGUUGCCUGUCCCACAUACAGCUGUGGCUUUGCAAAUGUCAUCCUUUGCCUGA